AGGCUGUACACUAUGGAUGGACACGUAGCCGUAUGUGCCUGCUUGUUGCUCGUCUUUAUGUGGACAGGGCUAGCAAAUUGCUAUUGUUCAGACGACAAUGAUUGCCCCUAUCUUUGGAAACCACGAUGUUACAACGACUCAACCCGUAGUUACUGCACAAAUAGUGAAAUUUGUCAGCAGGAUGCAGAUUGUGCAUUUGAUUUGCUAUCCUGCAUGGGCGGUUCUUGUCAACCAAAAAGCUGCUCAACGGAUGACGAUUGCCAUGGCGACAAUUCUGCGUGUUUCUUUGGAACAUGCUUUUGUAAACAUGGAUUUAGAAGAAUGGAAGAAGCAUGUGUUUCUGUCGUUGGUUUAAAAUGCUACCCAUACGGUGGUGAUAUCGGUUGCAACCCAUCGCUGGUUGAACAAAUUUGGAUGUAUGGCUCACCACAAGUUAUCAGCCAUGACUAUGUGUGUGACACAAAAACACACACGUGUCAAUGCGAUACAGAUGCUCUUAAAGAAAUAAACGGAGUUUGUA